rnacentral:rRNA from 2 species
GCUGGCGGCGUGCCUAAUACAUGCAAGUCGAACGAACUCUGGUAUUGAUUGGUGCUUGCAUCAUGAUUUACAUUUGAGUGAGUGGCGAACUGGUGAGUAACACGUGGGAAACCUGCCCAGAAGCGGGGGAUAACACCUGGAAACAGAUGCUAAUACCGCAUAACAACUUGGACCGCAUGGUCCGAGCUUGAAAGAUGGCUUCGGCUAUCACUUUUGGAUGGUCCCGCGGCGUAUUAGCUAGAUGGUGGGGUAACGGCUCACCAUGGCAAUGAUACGUAGCCGACCUGAGAGGGUAAUCGGCCACAUUGGGACUGAGACACGGCCCAAACUCCUACGGGAGGCAGCAGUAGGGAAUCUUCCACAAUGGACGAAAGUCUGAUGGAGCAACGCCGCGUGAGUGAAGAAGGGUUUCGGCUCGUAAAACUCUGUUGUUAAAGAAGAACAUAUCUGAGAGUAACUGUUCAGGUAUUGACGGUAUUUAACCAGAAAGCCACGGCUAACUACGUGCCAGCAGCCGCGGUAAUACGUAGGUGGCAAGCGUUGUCCGGAUUUAUUGGGCGUAAAGCGAGCGCAGGCGGUUUUUUAAGUCUGAUGUGAAAGCCUUCGGCUCAACCGAAGAAGUGCAUCGGAAACUGGGAAACUUGAGUGCAGAAGAGGACAGUGGAACUCCAUGUGUAGCGGUGAAAUGCGUAGAUAUAUGGAAGAACACCAGUGGCGAAGGCGGCUGUCUGGUCUGUAACUGACGCUGAGGCUCGAAAGUAUGGGUAGCAAACAGGAUUAGAUACCCUGGUAGUCCAUACCGUAAACGAUGAAUGCUAAGUGUUGGAGGGUUUCCGCCCUUCAGUGCUGCAGCUAACGCAUUAAGCAUUCCGCCUGGGGAGUACGGCCGCAAGGCUGAAACUCAAAGGAAUUGACGGGGGCCCGCACAAGCGGUGGAGCAUGUGGUUUAAUUCGAAGCUACGCGAAGAACCUUACCAGGUCUUGACAUACUAUGCAAAUCUAAGAGAUUAGACGUUCCCUUCGGGGACAUGGAUACAGGUGGUGCAUGGUUGUCGUCAGCUCGUGUCGUGAGAUGUUGGGUUAAGUCCCGCAACGAGCGCAACCCUUAUUAUCAGUUGCCAGCAUUAAGUUGGGCACUCUGGUGAGACUGCCGGUGACAAACCGGAGGAAGGUGGGGAUGACGUCAAAUCAUCAUGCCCCUUAUGACCUGGGCUACACACGUGCUACAAUGGAUGGUACAACGAGUUGCGAACUCGCGAGAGUAAGCUAAUCUCUUAAAGCCAUUCUCAGUUCGGAUUGUAGGCUGCAACUCGCCUACAUGAAGUCGGAAUCGCUAGUAAUCGCGGAUCAGCAUGCCGCGGUGAAUACGUUCCCGGGCCUUGUACACACCGCCCGUCACACCAUGAGAGUUUGUAACACCCAAAGUCGGUGGGGUAACCUUUUAGGAACCAGCCGCCUAAGGUGGGACAGAUGAUUAGGGUGAAGUCGUAACAAGGUAGCCGUAGGAGAACCUGCGGCUGGAUCACC